CACAUCACUUCAGUGCUCACAUCAUCUCGAUGAUCAUGUUAUCCCAAUGAUCACAUCACGGGUGAUAUACCAAACAGCACCUAAAGAUCGUAUAUCCUAUCCAUUCGUAAAUCUACAUCCAAUUAAUGCACCUCAUAAGAAGGUGUACAUGUAACAAGUGGAAGCUCUUAACCGUCUCGUGCACCUGAAAUCCCUUAUAUAUGUAUUUGCUCCAACCGAUCCUACCUUACUUGAUCUGAUCUUAUAUUUCUGUUUUUGUGAUGGGUACCUCACCAUUGAUGUUUCGUUCUUUGCUGCUAAACAAUUGGCGCAGCUUUCUCUCCAGGUGCUUGAGUAGUCCUGGUUCCCUGCAACCUUUGUCCUCGGUAAACCGGUGAAGCAUGAACUCACCAGAGCGAUAAAUAAAUAAAUAAAUAAUUUCCACGGCACGAUGCUUCCACCUGUUACUCCAUUAAUAAUUUAAUUGUUAUAAGAUCAAGGUUGUCAUUCUCAUAUUACACUAAUAAAUACCAACCCACCCAAAGCAAGCAAAUAUAAUAAGUAUUUUUUUUAUUAUAUAAAAGACAAGACAGCUCCAUCUGAAACCGACAUUUCACUAAAUCUACCAAAACUAUUCUUUUCG
rnacentral:lncRNA from 1 species